rfam:Rhodospirillales bacterium 69-11 SCNpilot_cont_750_bf_scaffold_406, whole genome shotgun sequence.
CCCCUUCCAUCGGUCGAGCCGAUUGCCUAUAUCUGGCGAGCCGGUUCGUCCGACUAUGGCGAUAAACGGUUCGUGGAAUAAGCGUUGUGGACCCGGGGGCAGUGCCCGGCGCCUCCACCAUAGGGGGGCGAAACAGGCUCGACACGCGUGGUAAAGACGGACUUUUCGCUCGGCAUGGUUCCGCCGUCAUCGGGCCGUAUCACAAGUGCCAAUGACAAUCAUGAGGCGCUCGCCGUCGCUGCAUAAGCGAUAGGCGCGGUUCGGGGGGCACCGGGCAACAGAAGCCCCCCACU